rnacentral:lncRNA from 12 species
GAGUUUGCAUGCUUCUGCUAGUGACCAGGUGCUGAACAAGGUAAUAUUCUGAUUUUUUUUAUAUAAAUGUUAUGCACAGAUGCUAUGUUAUAUAAGAACAAAAAUGCAUCUCUUAACAAGACUUUUUUUUUUUUUAAAUCACUCCUGCAAAAUACAUUUCUGCACUCAGCAAGCGGAAAAGUCAUUUAAACCUGUUAGCUUUUAGUGAGCAUAUUAAAUGUGUCAACUUGUAAGUAAAACGGUGUAAAUGCUUACAAUAUUCAUGUUUUUCUAUUUGUCAACCAACAGUUCAUCACAAAUUCAUGACAAAAGCCUCUCAAAUGCCUGCAGUGGGAAUGCUCCAUAAAGCGCAUUUCUUUUUGAAAAGACAUCAUCCAUUAUGGUUCAUCAUUGGAGAUUUGCAUCCUACGCUUUCAAAACGAGAUAAAUAUUUUUCUAUCAUAAAUUCUUUAAGCUCGUAAGCCAUGAAAAAAUGAAAGCAAGCUGCUCUUCUGCACAGUAAUUUUGUGUUUAAAAAAACCACAAAUGGACUUGUAUGUCAGUUCGUUUACUGAAUAAUUAACAGCUGCAUCGUGUGCACAAUGCGCAGCCAUACAUUAUUGAUCCCUUGGUUGUUUUUGACUCCUCUAGAGGGUUUUUAUUUCAAUUAAUAAACACUCUGUGGUUGGAAUAUGCACACAUUUCUAAGCAUGGUUUGCUAUGUUUUAAAUAAUGCUGUCCAUAUGUAUUCAUUUUUUAAUAAACUUUCCUUUUUCUCUCAGUUUUGUAGAACAUCAGUGGCUCAGAAGAUUAGGAGGAGUGUUGUGUAUUUUCCAGGCAUGUUGAGCUGUGAUGAUUCUCAUUUGAAUAAUACAGAGCAUUUCAGUGAGAGAAGGCCAGUGGAGGAGAGCUCUCCGUAAGUCACCUGACCAACCCCAGGAAGCCACACUGGAGCUCACAAGUCUAUAAUACGGCUGUUUUCAAAAGUCUCCGUUUUCGAGGGUCGAAAAUGCCGGAGUAGUGUAAACGAUAGGCGUAACCAUAGCAAAAGUUAUGCAUUUUAAAACGAAAAUGCACUAGUGUAAACUGGGUCUUAGAUUGCGCUGUGGUCAAUUCUUUUAGAUCUUUGUGGAAAUAGACGUUGUGAAAAACUAUUGCACUUAUUUUCUGACAAAAACCAAUGAUAAACUGGCUAACCUCACUACAUUUCAAAAAGUAAGUAAUGUAGUUAUAUCCAUUACUUUAGAUGUUAUGAUUUAUAUCCCAUGUAAACAAAUAAAUAAACAAGCUGUUUUUUAUUUGAAUAUAUUUCAAAAUAUAAUUUAUUUCUGUGAUGCAUAUAGCUGAAUUUUCAGCACCAUUACUCCAGUCUUUAGUGUCACAUAAUCUGUCAGAAAUCAUUCUAAUAUGCUUUUUUCAUAUUUUUCUAAUAUGAUUUGAUGUUCAAUGACCAUUUUUUUUAUUAUUUUCAAUGUUAAAAAUGUUAUCAGUGUUGUACUGAUUAAUAUUUUUGUGGUGCAAAAUACUUUUACACUAUAUAA